AUUCAGCUGAAGUGUCCCAUAUAGGACGAGAUGCGCAUUCUGGAU
rfam:Schistosoma margrebowiei strain Zambia genome assembly, scaffold: SMRZ_scaffold0000087